GCGGGUAUGGUGGAACUGGUAGACACGUUAGACUUAGGAUCUAAUGCAGCAAUGCGUGGGGGUUCGAGUCCCUUUACCCGCAC
rnacentral:tRNA from 1 species